rnacentral:lncRNA from 1 species
CAGCUACGUCAGAUUCCCAAGGAAGCCUGGAGCGGGGGGGGGCACACUGUGUCCUUAUAUCUGGCAGCCUGUUGUGUCAAACAGUGACAUAUUACAAACAUACCCUCGAAGGAUGCAGACGUGCUGUUCUGGACAUGCUGUUCUGGUAAUCCUGGAGGUGUGAUGGAACUCUUCUGCAGCAAAUAAACAUGCCUAUUGCAAGGGUAGAAGGAAUCACGACAAUGAGCUGCGUUACUGAAGACGACCUGUGUAACUCAUGCCACAGGACCUUACCUUUAGCCAGUGUUUGCGUAAGCUGAAGUCCUGGCAUGCAGCGCUCAUUGUUUAACAAAGGAAGAUAUCCAGCUCUUUUUUUCCUGCUUCUGUGUGGUCUGUCAGAUACUUAUCAGAAGAAAUGUGAAUUGUAACUUGCUGCUCAGCCACAACAUGGACAUACUGUACCCCUUGGGAGGGAUUAUAUAUAUUCAAGCCAGAGAGAAUCUCCUGCAUUGCUUCUUCCCCUCCCAUGUGACGACUCUACUUUCUAAAUACAAGAAACUGUUCGAAGCAGGCUAACUGUGGAGGCUGCUUUGAUGUCCUGCCAUCACACUGAGCUGUGGAAAGCCUUCUUGUUGUCUUAUGUAGAGAGCAGUUGAGGAUAUCAAAGGGAAGAUGGGAUGUUAAAUUUUUAUUGAUGAAUGUUUAAUAGUCUGGGUUGUAAGCUGUCAUGAGUAAUGCAGUGAAAGAAUUCGUUCUGAAUCUUUCUGUUUGCCACACAGUGCCUGAAAGUGAUUAGUCUUUAAAGAGUACAAAUCUUUAUUUUUUUUCUCCAGCAAUUUAUUUUCUGCAGCAGAUUAAAAGAAAUCUAUCAUGAUACUUAGUAGAGAGUCAAGUGGGCACAUUAGGUUAAUGCACCAGCCUCUCUCAGCUUGAGACUUGAGUUUACAACAGGUUUACAACAAAAAAGCAAUGAAUUUAGCGCUGUUCUCUGAAAGCCAAUGUGGCAAGCUUGGCUGCAUCCAACUGGGCUUAGGGCCAUGCGUUUCCUGAGGUGCAACUCUAUAUCUCAUAAAGCUCAAAGUAUGUUGACAGAGCAAUAUGCAGAAACACUGAGCCCAAUCUGAAGGGUACAGCCCAAAGAUAGCGGAGGAUUGAGCUGUU